GCAGUAGGGAUCUUCCGCAAUGGGCGAAAGCCUGACGGAGCAAUGCCGCGUGAGUGAUGAAGGUUUUCGGAUCGUAAAGCUCUGUUGCCAGGGAAGAACGCUUGGGAGAGUAACUGCUCUCAAGGUGACGGUACCUGAGAAGAAAGCCCCGGCUAACUACGUGCCAGCAGCCGCGGUAAUACGUAGGGGGCAAGCGUUGUCCGGAAUUAUUGGGCGUAAAGCGCGCGCAGGCGGUCAUUUAAGUCUGGUGUUUAAUCCCGGGGCUCAACCCCGGAUCGCACUGGAAACUGGGUGACUUGAGUGCAGAAGAGGAGAGUGGAAUUCCACGUGUAGCGGUGAAAUGCGUAGAUAUGUGGAGGAACACCAGUGGCGAAGGCGACUCUCUGGGCUGUAACUGACGCUGAGGCGCGAAAGCGUGGGGAGCAAACAGGAUUAGAUACCCUGGUAGUCCACGCCGUAAACGAUGAGUGCUAGGUGUUAGGGGUUUCGAUACCCUUGGUGCCGAAGUUAACACAUUAAGCACUCCGCCUGGGGAGUACGGUCGCAAGACUGAAACUCAAAGGAAUUGACGGGGGCCC
rnacentral:rRNA from 1 species